ACUUCAAAGAUUCUCCGAGUUUAUGGGCCUAACACUUUCAAGGUCAUGGCCGUAAACCGACAGGGUGUGCCGGGAAACGGGUACGCCUCCCAUUGCGGAAAGGGGAACACAGCUGGGUGCG
rnacentral:ncRNA from 2 species